CCUACGGGUGACAGCAGUGAGGAAUAUUGGUCAAUGGGCGAGAGCCUGAACCAGCCAAGUCGCGUGAAGGAUGACGGCCCUACGGGUUGUAAACUUCUUUUGUCAGGGAGCAAUUGGGUCCACGCGUGGGCUUAGCGAGAGUACCUGAAGAAAAAGCAUCGGCUAACUCCGUGCCAGCAGCCGCGGUAAUACGGAGGAUGCGAGCGUUAUCCGGAUUUAUUGGGUUUAAAGGGUGCGUAGGCGGAAUAGCAAGUCAGCGGUAAAAAUUCGGGGCUCAACCCCGUCGUGCCGUUGAAACUGGUGGUCUUGAGUGGGCGAGAAGUAUGCGGAAUGCGUGGUGUAGCGGUGAAAUGCAUAGAUAUCACGAAGAACUCCGAUUGCGAAGGCAGCAUACCGGCGCCCAACUGACGCUGAAGCACGAAAGCGUGGGUAUCGAACAGGAUUAGAUACCCUAGUAGUC
rnacentral:rRNA from 1 species